rnacentral:lncRNA from 1 species
AGACCUCAGCGUGUGAUGGGCUCCCGGCGUCGCACUGUGAGAGAGCGAAGUCUAAAGGGUUUGAAUAAAUUUGCCAAGAUUGCGCAUUGUACGAUGUCUGUUGUCAUCAAUGUGUACAUGCAAUGCAGUACUAGCUCCUGGACAGUCAUUUGUUCAUGCAUUCAUUCAUUUAACCAUCACUGUCUACCGAGGACGAGGGAUAAAGCAGGAAAAAAGACAACCAGUAGAGUUCACAGGGGAGCAGAAAGGCAGGCAAGAAUUAAGACCUUGGCCGGGCGCGGUGGCUCACGCCUGGAAUCGCAGCACUUUGGGAGGCCGAGGCAGG